AUGCGGGUAGGAGGGAAGCCGAGGAGGGUGGGGGGUGUCGUGGAGGCCACGCGCUGCCUGACCCACUUUGUGGGGCUGCGUCACCGCUCCUUCGUGCCGGCACUGCCACGGCUGAGCCCUGCCUGUCCUGCCUGGUCCCUGCCGUGGGUGCAGCCUGGGACAGCGCCGCAGCGGCACUGCCAGCAUUGCAGCUCAGCCCACCAAAGCCCCCGUGCCCUGCACUGCACCAUGUCCCCAGCACUGCUUGAGCACGGCCGUGCACGCGUGGGCAGCGGUACCCAGGCUGACAUGGGAUGUACGCUGCUGUUUUCCACUGAGAUCUGCACGGAGCUGCUGGUGUCCGAGCCUCUGCUCUGGCCCCUUCUCCCUGGCAGAAGCUGCUGUUGCACAGAGCACCAAACGCGGCACCCAGUGCCCCAAACGCAGAGUUCCUGUGGGUCACUUCACCCUGCCAGGACGAUGAGGUCGGUCCCACAAGGGACCAACCCCCUCCUACCGUUCCAGAGCUCUCCUGAUCCAUCAGACACUUUGUUCCCUGCCGGCUGCUCCUUCUGCCCUUGCUGAGGCCAGAAAUCACCGCUGCCGUGCGGGGCCGCCCCUCCUCGCUCCUGUCCCCUCCCUCGCAGCCCCUGCCGGGGCUCGGGGCUGCUCCGGCGCCCGGGAAGGAGGAUCCCCGGGAGCUGGAAGGACGCCUCGCCUCGCCGCCGACGCUUCACCCAGCCCGCGCCUUGUGCUCCCGCGGCUUCGAGCCCUGCCCUCCCGGCUCCCGAGCCGGUGGCUCCUCGCUCCGGGCCCACCGCGACCCAGCGCCGAGCCGUGCUCCCGGCCCGGGCGCCUGUGCGGGGCGGGCGGCAGCCGCGUGCGGCCGGCCGUGCCCCGGGCCGGGCUCCAG
rnacentral:lncRNA from 1 species